CUACGUGCCAGCAGCCGCGGUAAUACGUAGGUGGCAAGCGUUGUCCGGAAUUAUUGGGCGUAAAGCGCGCGCAGGCGGAUCAGUCAGUCUGUCUUAAAAGUUCGGGGCUUAACCCCGUGAUGGGAUGGAAACUGCUGAUCUAGAGUAUCGGAGAGGAAAGUGGAAUUCCUAGUGUAGCGGUGAAAUGCGUAGAUAUUAGGAAGAACACCGGUGGCGAAGGCGACUUUCUGGACGAAAACUGACGCUGAGGCGCGAAAGCCAGGGGAGCGAACGGGAUUAGAUACCCCGGUAGUCCUGGCCGUAAACGAUGGGUACUAGGUGUAGGAGGUAUCGACCCCUUCUGUGCCGGAGUUAACGCAAUAAGUACCCCGCCUGGGGAGUACGACCGCAAGGUUGAAACUCAAAGGAAUUGACGGGGGCCCGCACAAGCGGUGGAGUAUGUGGUUUAAUUCGACGCAACGCGAAGAACCUUACCAGGUCUUGACAUUGAUGGACAGAACUAGAGAUAG
rnacentral:rRNA from 1 species